GGCCAGGUAGCUCAGUUGGUAGAGCAGUGGACUGAAAAUCCUCGUGUCGGUGGUUCGAUUCCGCCCCUGGCCACCA
rnacentral:tRNA from 7 species